rnacentral:rRNA from 1 species
GAUGAACGCUGGCGGCGUGCCUAAUACAUGCAAGUCGAGCGAACAGACGAGGAGCUUGCUCCUCUGACGUUAGCGGCGGACGGGUGAGUAACACGUGGAUAACCUACCUAUAAGACUGGGAUAACUUCGGGAAACCGGAGCUAAUACCGGAUAAUAUAUUGAACCGCAUGGUUCAAUAGUGAAAGACGGUUUUGCUGUCACUUAUAGAUGGAUCCGCGCCGCAUUAGCUAGUUGGUAAGGUAACGGCUUACCAAGGCGACGAUGCGUAGCCGACCUGAGAGGGUGAUCGGCCACACUGGAACUGAGACACGGUCCAGACUCCUACGGGAGGCAGCAGUAGGGAAUCUUCCGCAAUGGGCGAAAGCCUGACGGAGCAACGCCGCGUGAGUGAUGAAGGUCUUCGGAUCGUAAAACGCUGUUAUUAGGGAAGAACAAAUGUGUAAGUAAUUAUGCACGUCUUGACGGUACCUAAUCAGAAAGCCACGGCUAACUACGUG